rnacentral:lncRNA from 1 species
AAAAUUAGUUUGUUUAUUGUUAAGCAUGUAGAGGAUUUGUAUUUAUACAUGUUUUUGAGCUAUAAUGUGCUGGAUAGUUUGAAUGUGAGGGAGAAAUGGAUAGUAAAUGUGAGGUAGAAUUGAGAUUAUUUCAAUUUUAUGUAUUAGGAAAAAAUUAGAGUAAAUGUGUUUUUAAUACUUAUAAAUUAGCUAUAUAAAUUGUAGGUGUAAUUUGAUACUUUAGUACUUUUCAGAUAGAGGUAUGCAAUUAGCCAUUUUUAGAAUAAGUAUUAUGUGGGAAAUAUUGAAUUUUUUAAUAGUUUAGUUAUUUGUAAAUUAAAUAUGAGUUAAAUAAUUUGUGGUACAUAGAGAUGGCUUCUAAUGCUAGAUGUAGUGGCGAUGGUGGAGGAGAUCGUCGUUCCUCUCGCGGCAAGGGGAAAAGCAAUGCUUCGUUAUUUGCAAAGAUGUCAUGAAGAUGCUAUUGCGGCGGGUCAGGAAUCUCCUUUUGGUGGUCGUUAUGCUCAACCGCCAAUCCCGGGUGUUUUAGAUGUUGGAGGUAUGCCCUAGAGGCAAUCAUAGAGAUGAUGAUAUUCCAUUUGUAUCCAUGAUUUAUAUAUUGUGUUCAUUGAAUAUCCAUUAAAGGCUACUUGAAUUGAUUUGCAAUUAUGUGAAUUGUAUGUGAAACUCUUUACUUGUAUGGUUAUUCUAAAGUUGUCCCUAGUCGGAGUUCAUGUGAGGACACACAUGAAUAUUAGACUAGCACAUGUAUUAGUUGAUGACUAUGUUUCACAAGUCAUGGACAUGGAGAUGUUGAACUAAUAAUGUGGACACAUGUGGAGACAUGUGCUAGGACUGAC